rnacentral:rRNA from 1 species
CAGCAGCCGCGGUAAUACGAAGGGUGCGAGCGUUAAUCGGAAUUAUUGGGCGUAAAGCGCGCGCAGGUGGUUUAAUAAGUCUGAUGUGAAAGCCCACGGCUCGACCGUGGAGGGUCAUUGGAAACUGUUAAACUUGAGUGCAGGAGAGAAAAGUGGAAUUCCUAGUGCAGCGGUGAAAUGCGUAGAGAUGUGGAGGAACACCUGUGGCGAAGGCGACUCUCUGGUCUGUAACUGACGCUGAGGAGCGAAAGCGUGGGGAGCGAACAGGAUUAGAUACCCCAGUAGUCCCUGUCUCUUAUAC